GGAGGAGGAGGUGUUAGUUUGGCCAGUUCCCAAUAGCUUCUCUCUGCUUCUUACCUCCAUCCCUCUUCUUUCCUCCAGUUUUCCUCCAUUUCUCUCUCCACCGGACAUCCGAUUGCUGCGUGAGGAGUGUACAAGAAAAAGAAAUGAAUGAAUGAAAAAAAAUAUUGAAAAUGCCAAAGAAAUGGAAAUAAAUCUUAGGGAAAUGAAAAAAAGUUGAUGAAAUGAAUAAAGUAUGAUUAUUUCCAUUAUUGAUAGAAUUGUGAAGAGAAGAUCAUGAAAUAUUGGAUCACAGGGAAAAAAAAAUUAAUGGACGAAUAAAUGAAAA